rnacentral:rRNA from 1 species
AUGAACGCUAGCUACAGGCUUAACACAUGCAAGUCGAGGGGCAGCAUGGUCUUAGCUUGCUAAGGCCGAUGGCGACCGGCGCACGGGUGAGUAACACGUAUCCAACCUGCCGUCUACUCUUGGACAGCCUUCUGAAAGGAAGAUUAAUACAAGAUGGCAUCAUGAGUCCGCAUGUUCACAUGAUUAAAGGUAUUCCGGUAGACGAUGGGGAUGCGUUCCAUUAGAUAGUAGGCGGGGUAACGGCCCACCUAGUCUUCGAUGGAUAGGGGUUCUGAGAGGAAGGUCCCCCACAUUGGAACUGAGACACGGUCCAAACUCCUACGGGAGGCAGCAGUGAGGAAUAUUGGUCAAUGGGCGAGAGCCUGAACCAGCCAAGUAGCGUGAAGGAUGACUGCCCUAUGGGUUGUAAACUUCUUUUAUAAAGGAAUAAAGUCGGGUAUGGAUACCCGUUUGCAUGUACUUUAUGAAUAAGGAUCGGCUAACUCCGUGCCAGCAGCCGCGGUAAUACGGAGGAUCCGAGCGUUAUCCGGAUUUAUUGGGUUUAAAGGGAGCGUAGAUGGAUGUUUAAGUCAGUUGUGAAAGUUUGCGGCUCAACCGUAAAAUUGCAGUUGAUACUGGAUAUCUUGAGUGCAGUUGAGGCAGGCGGAAUUCGUGGUGUAGCGGUGAAAUGCUUAGAUAUCACGAAGAACUCCGAUUGCGAAGGCAGCCUGCUAAGCUGCAACUGACAUUGAGGCUCGAAAGUGUGGGUAUCAAACAGGAUUAGAUACCCUGGUAGUCCACACGGUAAACGAUGAAUACUCGCUGUUUGCGAUAUACUGCAAGCGGCCAAGCGAAAGCGUUAAGUAUUCCACCUGGGGAGUACGCCGGCAACGGUGAAACUCAAAGGAAUUGACGGGGGCCCGCACAAGCGGAGGAACAUGUGGUUUAAUUCGAUGAUACGCGAGGAACCUUACCCGGGCUUAAAUUGCAGAUGAAUUACGGUGAAAGCCGUAAGCCGCAAGGCAUCUGUGAAGGUGCUGCAUGGUUGUCGUCAGCUCGUGCCGUGAGGUGUCGGCUUAAGUGCCAUAACGAGCGCAACCCUUGUUGUCAGUUACUAACAGGUUCCGCUGAGGACUCUGACAAGACUGCCAUCGUAAGAUGUGAGGAAGGUGGGGAUGACGUCAAAUCAUCAUGCCCCUUAUGAUUUGGGCUACACACGUGCUACAAUGGCAGAUACAAAGAGAAGCGACCUCGCGAGAGCAAGCGGAACUCAUAAAGUCUGUCGUAGUCCGGAUUGGAGUCUGCAACUCGACUCCAUGAAGUCGGAAUCGCUAGUAAUCGCAGGUCAGCAUACUGCGGUGAAUACGUUCCCGGGCCUUGUACACACCGCCCGUCACACCAUGAGAGUUGGGGAUACCCGAAGCCUGUGAGCCAACAGUUAAAUGGGGCAGCAGUCGAAGGUAGAAUCAAUGAUUGGGGUG